rnacentral:rRNA from 1 species
AACUAAGCGGAGGAAAAGAAACUAACAAGGAUUCCCCUAGUAACGGCGAGUGAAGCGGGAAGAGCUCAAGCUUAAAAUCUCUGUGCUAGUUUAGCAUGGCGAAUUGUAGUCUAUUGAGGCUGUUGUCAGCACAGCGACCUGGGACAAGUCUCUUGGAAGAGAGCAGCAUAGAGGGUGAUACUCCCGUCUCUGCUCAGGUCUGCUUGUGUGUACGAUACGCUUUCUUUGAGUCGAGUUGCUUGGGAAUGCAGCUCAAAGUAGGUGGUAAAUUCCAUCUAAAGCUAAAUAUAGGUGCGAGACCGAUAGCGAACAAGUACCGUGAGGGAAAGAUGAAAAGAACUUUGAAAAGAGAGUUAAAGAGUACCUGAAACUGUUGAAAGGGAAUCGUAUCGUUUCCAGUGUCUUAUCCUUUGCAUAUUUCAUUGGCGGAUGUGGGUGUGUAGUGUGCUUGUACUAGCAGUUCAUUCUGCAGUCUGCGUUCUACGCUGCUUAUAUUUGCUGGUGCCCUGUGCAUUGGUGUGACGUCAGAGUCAGUUUGUACGCUGCGGGAGAUGGUUGUCGAGGAGGUAUUUUGAACACAUUUGUGUUUGGAUGUUAUAUCUUGGCAUACUAGUAGUCGUGGCGGAGACUGAGGUGCCUACAACAUGCCUUGGGAGUCAUGUGGGGUCUCGUUUGAAUAAUUGUUUGGAUAGCUUGCUAUGCUUGUGAUUUAUUUGGGCGAUUGAUUCUGUGUGCAACUUCUUGCUGUUCGGGACUUUGGCGAAAUGGAGCGAUACGUCCCGUCUUGAAACACGGACCAAGGAGUCUAACAUGUGUGCAAGUAUUAGGGUGUGGAAACCCAAAUGCGUAAUGAAAGUAAAUGGUAACUCAGUUACCUGAGGUAGGAAAGCGGCUACUUGUAGACGCUGGCACUAUCGACCGAUCAUGAACCCACGUGGUGAAAGAUUUGAGUAUGAGCAUAUAUGUUGGUACCCGAAAGAUGGUGAACUAUGCCUGAAUAGGGUGAAGCCAGAGGAAACUCUGGUGGAAGCUCGUAGCGAUUCUGACGUGCAAAUCGAUCGUCAAAUUUGGGUAUAGGGGCGAAAGACUAAUCGAACCAUCUAGUAGCUGGUUCCCU